rfam:Oryza rufipogon genomic scaffold, chr04
UUUAAGUGCAACCAUGAAUUUCUGUGUCCAAUUUUGAUCUUCCGCCUUAUUUGAAAUUCUCUUAUGAUUAGUAUUUUUAUUAUUAUUAGAUGAUUAAACAUGAAAAGUACUUUAUGUGUGUGACUUCUGUUUUUAUAUUUUUUUUCAAAAAAUUUUUAAAUAAGACGGACGAUCAAAGUUGGACACAGAAAAACAUGGCUGCACUUAUA